rnacentral:rRNA from 1 species
GACGAACUUUGGCGGCGUGCUUAACACAUGCAAGUCGAACGGAAAGGCCCUGCUUUUGUGGGGUGCUCGAGUGGCGAACGGGUGAGUAACACGUGAGUAACCUGCCCUUGACUUUGGGAUAACUUCAGGGAACUGGGGCUAAUACCGGAUAGGAGCUCCUGCUGCAUGGUGGGGGUUGGAAAGUUUCGGCGGUUGGGGAUGGACUCGCGGCUUAUCAGCUUGUUGGUGGGGUAGUGGCUUACCAAGGCUUUGACGGGUAGCCGGCCUGAGAGGGUGACCGGCCACAUUGGGACUGAGAUACGGCCCAGACUCCUACGGGAGGCAGCAGUGGGGAAUAUUGCACAAUGGGCGGAAGCCUGAUGCAGCAACGCCGCGUGCGGGAUGACGGCCUUCGGGUUGUAAACCGCUUUCGCCUGUGACGAAGCGUGAGUGACGGUAAUGGGUAAAGAAGCACCGGCUAACUACGUGCCAGCAGCCGCGGUGAUACGUAGGGUGCGAGCGUUGUCCGGAUUUAUUGGGCGUAAAGGGCUCGUAGGUGGUUGAUCGCGUCGGAAGUGUAAUCUUGGGGCUUAACCCUGAGCGUGCUUUCGAUACGGGUUGACUUGAGGAAGGUAGGGGAGAAUGGAAUUCCUGGUGGAGCGGUGGAAUGCGCAGAUAUCAGGAGGAACACCAGUGGCGAAGGCGGUUCUCUGGGCCUUUCCUGACGCUGAGGAGCGAAAGCGUGGGGAGCGAACAGGCUUAGAUACCCUGGUAGUCCACGCUGUAAACGGUGGGUACUAGGUGUGGGGUCCAUUCCACGGGUUCCGUGCCGUAGCUAACGCUUUAAGUACCCCGCCUGGGGAGUACGGCCGCAAGGCUAAAACUCAAAGGAAUUGACGGGGCCCCGCACAAGCGGCGGAGCAUGCGGAUUAAUUCGAUGCAACGCGUAGAACCUUACCUGGGUUUGACAUGGAUCGGGAGUGCUCAGAGAUGGGUGUGCCUCUUUUGGGGUCGGUUCACAGGUGGUGCAUGGCUGUCGUCAGCUCGUGUCGUGAGAUGUUGGGUUAAGUCCCGCAACGAGCGCAACCCUUGUUCACUGUUGCCAGCACGUUAUGGUGGGGACUCAGUGGAGACCGCCGGGGUCAACUCGGAGGAAGGUGGGGAUGACGUCAAGUCAUCAUGCCCCUUAUGUCCAGGGCUUCACGCAUGCUACAAUGGCUGGUACAGAGAGUGGCGAGCCUGUGAGGGUGAGCGAAUCUCGGAAAGCCGGUCUCAGUUCGGAUUGGGGUCUGCAACUCGACCUCAUGAAGUCGGAGUCGCUAGUAAUCGCAGAUCAGCAACGCUGCGGUGAAUACGUUCCCGGGGC